rnacentral:lncRNA from 10 species
AGUCAUUACCACUCCCUAAUCUCAAGUACCCAGGGACACAAACACUCUGCCUAGGAAAACCAGAGACCUUUGUUCACUUGUUUGUCUGCUGACCUUCCCUCCACUAGUGUCCUAUGACCCUGCCAAAUCCCCCUCGUGAGAAACACCCAAGAAUGAUCAAUAAAACAAAAACAAAACAAAACAAACAAACAAACAAAAACAAAACAAAACAAAACAAACAAACAAACAAAAAAAAAGCGAAAAUUGUGGGCAUUUGCAGUCUUUGCUGCCAUUAAGUCUUCUGGAUUUUUCUACAGGUUGACUCUAAAAGUUGAAAUCCAGUCAAAGAUAUUUACAUUAUUAUGGCCACAUGAACGUUGUUUACCCUCAGGCCAAACAAUGGGCUGGAAUUACACUUGCUUCUCCACACACUCCAUCCCAUAAUCCAUGUGUCACUCAAAGGACAAUGUGGCAAGCAAGCACUAAGGCCCUAAAUUGAUACUGUAUCAAUUAAAUACAAUUAUGUUGUGUUAUUAAAAAAAAAAAAAAAGAAAAUAAAUUAUAAAGCUCUUUGCUGUAGGUGAAGCCUACAGUAGGAAUGUAGGAAAAGCCAUUUGGAAGGCAGGACAAGGGUAUGGCUUCUUUUAAUAGCAUUUUUGCUAUUUUUCACAGUGGAAUUUAGUAAUGAUUAAUAAAUUAAUAUUUGUAAAGCAAUGAAAAACAUUCAGUUUUAAAAUUAUAUACUAUAUUAUACAUAAGUAUCAGUUUAGGGCAUGAUUUUGCCUUUUAUUUUUUCAACAAAGAAGAAAAGUGUCCUUCAGUGUAGAAAAAUAUCUAAUGUAUUUUCUAGUUCUUAGUUUUGAACUCAUAUUCUACUAAAAAUCUAAGAUAUUCUAGAAAAUGAUUUAAAUGUGAGAAUUACAAUAUCUGAUUUAUUAUUCACAGCAUAAUUUUUUAUUAAAUAAACUUUCAAUCCCAUUAUCAUUUUUAAACUACUUAGCUCCAAUCAAAAUGAAAAGGCCCAUUUCUUCAUCUUUAUUGAUGUCUUUCACGUUUCAGUGCCCUGGAAAGAGACUUUCUCUACUUUUAAAUGAAGAAUUCUGGGUUGCUCAUUAUAUCUGAAAGAUGGAUGUAAUGGAAAUGAGUGAUGGAACAGCUCUACAACAGCAACUCUGUGCUUCACUGUGGUUUGCUGCCCUGGAAUAAUAUCUGCUACUUUUGUCUUCACCAAAAUCAUGUGGUUCCCUCACCAGUGUCAUUUACUCGCCCAAACUUUAUCUUAGUGGUGGAGGUGGAUUAGUCCCCUGAACCUUGAGAACAUGUUUUUUUCUUAUGCAUCAUAAUUGGGAAGUUUUUCUUCAAAAUAUCACUAGGCUGAAAAUGAAGUUCUUUAAAAGACUUAUAGAAAGGUAGCGAAAAGAUGUUUUCUUUUUAAUGGAUGUCAAUGGAAAUGCAGUAUAUAUAGUAGGUCCUGAGAAGACUUAACAGAUAUGUGACAUGAAAAUAUGUUUCCUCUCAAAUCCAUGCUUGCCAGAACUUUAUUUUUAAAUAGCAGAAGCCUUGCAAGGAAAUGUGAAAGGCUGGUACUAUUAAAAAGGUCUGAGUUAUUAAAAAAAAUACAUAUGCAUUCCUACAUGAGACAUAUACCUUAAAGAAGGACUGCCUUCUAACGCAGAUUUUGUUUUUGUUUUUUUACUUGGCAUAACAGAGAAGUCAACGCGCUAAUCAAUAAGUGCCAUCUAUUUUUGAUUGACCUUAAUUUUCUGAAUGACUGCUUUUCUUCAAAUAUUUUAAGUCAUGACUAAAUUUCAUUUAAUAAGAAAUGUUUAGGUUAGUUUGUAAACAAGAAAUCAGAUAUUAUGAAUCCAAACCUGGAAUUACAUUUCAAUAAUGCUUAAUUUAUUUCAUAUUUUAGCCAACUGAUUUGUAAUUGUAUUAAGGCUCCCAGGAUAAACUCCAUGGUUAAUUUGGCCCUUUAAAGGUCAACAACAUAUAAGGGCAUAUGUACUUUAAUUCUACUUUAUUCUGAUAUUUCAUAAAACAAUAAUGUAUUAGUCUGUUCUCAUGCUGCUGAUAAAGAUAUACCCAAGACUGAGUAAUUUAUAAAGGAAAGAGAUUAAUUGACUCACAGUUCCACAUGGCUGGGGAGGCCUCACAAUCAUGGAGGAAGGCAACGAGGAGCAAAGUGAUGUCUUACAUGUAGGCAGGCAAGAGAGCUCAUGUGCUGGGGAACUCCGCUUUAUAAAGCCAUCAGAAAUUGUGAGACUUAUUCACUAUUAUGAGAACAGCACUGAAACGACCACACCCAUGAUUCAGUUACCUCCCACUGGGUACCUCCAACGACGUGUGGGAAUUAUGGGAGAUACAAUUCAAGAUUUGGGUGAGGACACAGCCAAAUCAUAUCAAAUGGCAUGAGAUUUAUUGUAAAGGCCCACAGCAAGGAGGAAAACCUGUUUCUACUUGAAGUUGGGGUUCUGUGCUGAACUUGUUCUGUGUUGUCUCCCUCCUGGCAACGAUGAAUCUUAGAAUCACUUAGACAAGUUGAAAAAUUUUAUUUGAGGGGGAGGAGCCAAGAUGGCCGAAUAGGAACAACUCCGGUCUACAGCUCCCAGCCUGAGCGACGCAGAAGACGGUGAUUUCUGCAUUUCCAUCUGAGGUACAGGGUUCAUCUCACUAGGGAGUGCCAGACAGUGGGCGCAGGCCAGUGAGUGCGCGCACCGUGCGCGAGCCGAAGCAGGGCGAGGCAUUGCCUCACUUGGGAAGCGCGAGGGGUCAGGGAGUUCCCUUUCCGAGUCAAAGAAAGGGGUGACGGACGCACCUGGAAAAUCGGGUCACUCCCACCCGAAUACAGCGCUUUUCCGACGGGCUUAAAAAACGGCGCGCCACGAGAUUAUAUCCCACACCUGGCUUGGAGGGUCCUAUGCCCACGGAGUCUCGCUGAUUGCUAGCACUGCAGUCUGAGAUCAAACUGCAAGGUGGCAGCGA